AAUAUUAAUUUAUUCAAAUUGCAGAGAAUAGUUGAUAGUCAGGCGGCCACUUGUGACUUCAUU
rnacentral:ribozyme from 1 species